UACUAUUUAUUAACAGUGCCAACCUGGUUUUGUCCCUCAUUCUCUUGAUGGUUUUUAAGUUUUAGUGGGGUUGUAUGGUGAAUUGGCCAUUUUGCCCCUCUCUCGUUUUUCUUCCUGUGCGUGCGUGUUGUGUUUUCAAGGGUUCCCAUCUUUCACUUUUCACUUUCCUCUUCUUUUCUUCUUUCCGUUUCUCUCUAUUUUUCUCAUCUGUAUUUUGGUAUCGAUUCCGAUCGAAUUCUCUACAAGGUGUUUGCCCUUUUUCCCCUUGUUUUCCACGAAGGAAUCGCUCGCGUCUAGGUAGCCAUGUUCAGUUUUUCAGUUUGAUUUGAAGGAAUUUCUUGUGCAGAAGAGCUAGGGUUUCUUGGAUAUCGUGGUUUUUUGGAUUUGGGACUUUUGUUUGCAGCCUUCAGAGCCCUGUGUAUUUGAGGUAAAUUUCAAUUUGGAAAAAAAAAAUCUCUGCUGCAUUUCGGUUCCUACAAUAAUUUUAGCUCCUGAAGUAGCUUUCAGCUGUCAAGGUUACAAACAAUUAAGUGUGUUUCAACGCACGGCACCACUUCCUAGUUAUACCUAUACUAAAACUCAGAUGAAAAACACUUUUCACCAACAGUGCAUUCACAAAGCUGCUCCUCCAACUAAGCCAUCGCCGCUCUCUUCUUCUCUCUCACAAAACUAAGCCAUCGCCGCUGUUCUUCUUUCUAAAAAAAACCACGAUCCUCGACAUUUCUGUCAACAUUCGAGCUUUGCAUGCACAAAUUCGUUUCGUGUAUAAACAAAUUUUUUAACAGUCGAGCUAUGUUAAAUAGAUUUGUCCAACUUUGUAUGAAUAAUUAGUGAAUUAUUUGUUGUUUUAGGUUUUUAAUUUGGAUUUUUUGUGUGGGAUUUGUUACAUUGUUUUGUUUGUUACUGGGUUUUCUUUGCGAUUUGUUCCUUUUUUUUUUUCUUCUUGGAUUAUUAUUUUGAUUUUGUGCAUUUUUAGGUUAGUUGGUUGUGGGUUAUGAUUAAAAUAUUUUGAUUUUGUGCGGUUUUUCGAGGAACUAUGAUUUCCAUAUCCAUUAAAAUAUUUUGUAAUCAGAGGCAAUUACUUAGA